UUCCAGAGGUUCAUGCAGACUCUAUGGUAGUUUCAAAGGAAAGGACCUGGGGAGUCUCCAGCAGCGCAAGUUCCAUUUUGAUGUUAAGGGCCAAUUGGCAGAGGAGAACAGUGUCAUCUAGCAGAAGUCUUUCUGUGCCCCUCUGGAACUGCAGUUAUGCUCCCAAGAAGUGCCAGUAGGCCUCGCCGGUCAAAACAUGAUGGAUUUGGAAAAGUCUGCCAACGUCACCUUUGAACCAAAAGUGUUUGAAGUGCCUCCGGAGCCAAGCCUAAGAUAUUCUGAAUAUAGAGUAUUCUACGAUGCGUACAGCAUUUGCUUGAGGUAUGCAGAUCAGGAGAGGGGGAAGAGAAGUGGAAAAGGAAUUGCUUUAGAAAUUGCUGAAACAGCCUAUUUUCUCACCUCCAGCAGUUCCUCCACUCCUAUUUCCUAACGUCUAAACUGGGAGAGGAUAAUUUCACGUGGGUAGUGUCUGCACUGAUUUUUGUAACAACACCGUUCUGGGUCUUUAAGCAGUACCUGAAAGCAGCUUGUAUCCAAGAGGGGCUCCUUGGCCUGUCAGUGAUGGGAGGAGGGUGGAAGGGUGACUGCAUUGUCCAUCAUGUGUUGAUGUGAACAGGCUAUGAUGAGACCACAGAGCUGUAGGACUUAC
rnacentral:lncRNA from 1 species